GGGCGCGUAGCUCAGCUGGUAGAGCACUCGACUUUUAAUCGAGCGGUCCGCGGUUCGAAACCGCGCGCGCCUACCA
rnacentral:tRNA from 1 species